UACGUAGGGGGCAAGCGUUGUCCGGAAUCAUUGGGCGUAAAGAGCGCGUAGGCGCCCAGUAAGUCCGCUCUGAAAGUCUGAGGCUCAACCUCUGGAUGCGGGUGGAUACUGCUGGGCUGAGAGUCCGGAAGAGGCGAGUGGAAUUCCUGGUGUAGCGGUGAAAUGCGCAGAUAUCAGGAGGAACACCGGUGGCGAAGGCGGUUCUCUGGGCAUUACCUGACGCUGAGGAGCGAAAGUGUGGGGAGCGAACAGG
rnacentral:rRNA from 1 species